CUCUGGUUCUGCUCCUAGCUGGCUGCAUGGCAUUGUACAGUACACUUAAACUCUUCUGAACCCCAGAUUCCUCAUCAGGGAUAACCCUUUCUCUGCCUAUCUUAUAGCACUAGUGGGGCUCAAAGGAGAGAACGGAUGUGAACGUGUUUUAAACUUCUAAGUGCUCUGCACACGAGGGCCUUUCUCAUGAAGAAUGUCUUCUUCUCUCCUUCCUAUACCUCAUGCCCAUCACCUGUCAAAUCUGGAACGAGCCUAUUUUACAGUAGAGGUCUGGUAGAGGUCUGGGGGAAGGGUGGUGUCAGUAUCUUGGGGUUCUCUCUAGGCCCUGGUCAGUGAGCUGUCAGAGCACUUGAGGGACCCCCUGACCUCCCUGAGCCGCACUGAGCUGGAAGCCGCAGAGGUCAUCCUGGAGCAUGCCCACCGCGGGGAGCAGACAACCUCCCAGGUAAGCUGGGAGCAAGACCUGAAGCUGUUUCUUCAGGAGCCUGGUGUAUUUUCCCCCACCCCACCUCAGCAGUUUCAGCCAGCAGGGACUGAUCAGGUGUGUGUCCUGGAGUGGGGAGCAGAAGGCGUGGCUGGCAAGAGUGGCCUG
rnacentral:sRNA from 1 species